CUUGGAUUUUGGUUGUAGUUUUUAUGCAUGUUUUAUGUAAUUUUAGUUUUUUUUUUCACUUUUCCAGAGCAGUUUAAAAAUAGGGAAUAAAACUGAGGUCUUAUUGUCAGCUGAUCAUAUAAUGGCUUAUCUGAUGAUGCAUUAUGCAAGGGUCAUAGGACCAGACUGUUUUUGGAUAGAUCUUUAUAUCAAAUAGAACUGCUUUGAGUGAAU